AACGAACGCUGGCGGCAUGCCUAACACAUGCAAGUCGAACGAGACCUUCGGGUCUAGUGGCGCACGGGUGCGUAACGCGUGGGAACCUGCCCUUAGGUUCGGAAUAACUCCCCGAAAGGGGUGCUAAUACCGGAUAAUGUCUUCGGACCAAAGAUUUAUCGCCUUUGGAUGGGCCCGCGUUGGAUUAGCUAGUUGGUAGGGUAAAAGCCUACCAAGGCGACGAUCCAUAGCUGGUCUGAGAGGAUGAUCAGCCACACUGGGACUGAGACACGGCCCAGACUCCUCCGGGAGGCAGCAGUGGGGAAUAUUGGACAGUGGGCGAAAGCCUGAUCCAGCAAUGCCGCGUGAGUGAUGAAGGCAUUAGGGUUGUAAAGCUCUUUUACCCGGGAUGAUAAUGACAGUACCGGGAGAAUAAGCUACGGCUAACUCCGUG
rnacentral:rRNA from 1 species